CAAUAAGCGGAGGAAAAGAAACCAACAGGGAUUGCCCCAGUAACGGCGAGUGAAGCGGCAACAGCUCAAAUUUGAAAUCUGGCCCUCCCCGGGGGGCCCGAGUUGUAAUUUGCAGAUUGUGCUUUUGGCGAGGGGCCUUCCGAGUUCCCUGGAACGGGACGCCACAGAGGGUGAGAGCCCCGUCUGGUCGGCCGCCGAGCCUCUGUAAAGCACCUUCGACGAGUCGAGUAGUUUGGGAAUGCUGCUCAAAAUGGGAGGUAUAUGUCUUCUAAAGCUAAAUAUUGGCCAGAGACCGAUAGCGCACAAGUAGAGUGAUCGAAAGAUGAAAAGCACCUUGAAAAGGGGGUUAAACAGUACGUGAAAUUGUUGAAAGGGAAGCGCUCGCGACCAGACUUGGGCCUGGCGGAUCACCCAGCGUUCUCGCUGGGGCACUCCGCCUCGUCCCAGGCCAGCAUCGGUUCGUGCCGGGGGACAAAGGCGGCGGGAACGUGGCUCCCCCGGGAGUGUUAUAGCCCGCCGUGCAAUGCCCUGGGGCGGACCGAGGACUCGCGCAUCUGCAUGGAUGCUGGCGUAAUGGUCACUAGCGACCCGUCUUGAAACACGGACCAAGGAGUCGUCUUCGUAUGCGAGUGUUCGGGUGUCAAACCCCUACGCGUAAUGAAAGUGAACGCAGGUGAGAGCUUCGGCGCAUCAUCGACCGAUCCUGAUGUUCUCGGAUGGAUUUGAGUAGGAGCAUACGGGGCCGGACCCGAAAGAAGGUGAACUAUGCCUGUGUAGGGUGAAGCCAGAGGAAACUCUGGUGGAGGCUCGCAGCGGUUCUGACGUGCAAAUCGAUCGUCAAACAUGGGCAUGGGGGCGAAAGACUAAUCGAACCUUCUAGUAGCUGGUUUCCGC
rnacentral:rRNA from 1 species